ACCUGGGAUUUAUAGCUAGCAUAGAAGUACGAGUAAUAUUCCUGAUGCAACUAAUAAAACAUCUAGUGCAUAGUAAAAUAUUUAGGAGAAUGAUCAAAGUGAACUUGCCUUGUCCAAGGUUGUGGUAGUUCUCGCACUCUUCGCAACAACAAUGAUUACACUCCACACAAUCUAAAUAAAAGGAACACACACAAUAAACACAACAUUCAAUACGAAAACCAUGCCAUGAUGCAUAUGCUAUGCUGAUGCACACAAAGGUUACCUCUAAGGUAAGAAGCUUCGUUUCUGUUUUGAAAAGUUAUUUUUCAAAUGGUUUGGACAGAUUAUACAACAUCAAAGUGGUAAUUAAUAUGCAAGAAACAUGGAUAGGGUUUAAAACAAAAGAUUGUGCGGCUUUUGUAACAUAGAGCAAUAUUUAACUUGUAUGCCAUGAUUAUACACAAUAUAAUUUCUUUUCUGGUCCUAAUGUACAGAGAACAAGUUUAAAUAAUUUUACAGCAAUAUAACAUGCUCAAAACUAUUUUGAAACAAUUCAUUUGGAAUUUAAACCAUAAACCACCAUUCUGUAAAUAGCUACUGUCUAAGUUAUUUAAAACUGAAAAUAAACAGUGCCAAAAUAUUCUAUACGUUGUGACGAUUCCAGAAAGGUGUGGAUCGUAAAUUUUGGACAAACGGUUUAAAAGAUAUGGGGUUUUGAAGUUGUAGGAGCUUUUCUGCAAAAUUGCAUUAUCCAAUCCGGCCGAAUUAAAAUAAAAUAAAAUAAAACAAAAUCUCGCCACGUGGCGAAACCUGACUGGCCCGGUUCUAGGGUUCCGGCCGGCGGACG
rnacentral:lncRNA from 1 species